CUUGAACGCUAGCGGGAUGCUUUACACAUGCAAGUCGAACGCGUGGCGGACGGGUGAGUAAUAUAUCGGAACGUGCCCAGUAGCGGGGGUUAACUCCUCGAAAGAGUGGCUAUUACCGCAUACUCUUUGAGCGGUCGCUAUCGGAUUAGCUAGUUGGUGGGGUAAAGGCUGACCAAGGCAACGAUCCGUAGCUGGUUUGAGAGGACGACCAGCCAAACUGGGACUGAGACACGGCCCAGACUCCUACGGGAGGCAGCAGUGGGGAAUGUUGGACAAUGGGGGAAACCCUGAUGCAGCCAUCCCGCGUGUAUGAGAAGGCCUUCGGGUUGUAAAGUACUUUUGGCAGAGAAGCGGUAUCUGAAGAAUAAGCACCGGCUAACUACGUGCCAGCAGCCGCGGUAAUUC
rnacentral:rRNA from 1 species